CCUACGGGAGGCAGCAGUGAGGAAUAUUGGUCAAUGGGCGCGAGCCUGAACCAGCCAAGUAGCGUGAAGGAUGACUGCCCUACGGGUUGUAAACUUCUUUUAUAAAGGAAUAAAGUGAGGCACGUGUGCCUUUUUGUAUGUACUUUAUGAAUAAGGAUCGGCGAACUCCGUGCCAGCAGCCGCGGUAAUACGGAGGAUCCGAGCGUUAUGCGGAUUUAUUGGGUUUAAAGGGAUCGGAGAUGGGUUGUUAAGUCAGUUGUGAAAGUUUGCGGCUUAACCGUAAAAUUGAAAUUGAUACUGGCAGCCUUGAGGACAGUUGAGGUAGGCAGAAUUCGUGGUGUAGCGGUGAAAUGCUUAGAUAUGACGAGGAACUCCGAUUGCGAAGGCAGCCUACUAAACUGCCACUGACAUUGAUGCUCGAAAGUGUGGGUAUCAAACAGGAUUAGAUACCCUAGUAGUC
rnacentral:rRNA from 1 species